rnacentral:rRNA from 1 species
CUUAGUGGCGAACGGGUGAGUAACGCGUGAGUAACCUGCCCUCGGAGUGGGGGGACGAACAGUUGGAAACGACUGCUAAUACCGCAUAAGCCCACGGAUCCGCAUGGAUCUGCGGGAAAAGGAUUUAUUUGCUUCAGGAUGGACUCGCGUCCAAUUAGCUAGUUGGUGAGGUAACGGCCCACCAAGGCGACGAUUGGUAGCCGGACUGAGAGGUUGAACGGCCACAUUGGGACUGAGACACGGCCCAGACUCCUACGGGAGGCAGCAUG